rnacentral:rRNA from 1 species
AGGAUGAACGCUAGCUACAGGCUUAACACAUGCAAGUCGAGGGGCAGCAUGGUCUUAGCUUGCUAAGACUGAUGGCGGCCGGCGCACGGGUGAGUAACACGUAUCCAACCUGCCGUCUACUCUUGGACAGCCUUCUGAAAGGAAGAUUAAUACAAGAUGGCAUCAUGAGUCCGCAUGUUCACAUGAUUAAAGGUAUUCCGGUAGACGAUGGGGAUGCGUUCCAUUAGAUAGUAGGCGGGGUAACGGCCCACCUAGUCUUCGAUGGAUAGGGGUUCUGAGAGGAAGGUCCCCCACAUUGGAACUGAGACACGGUCCAAACUCCUACGGGAGGCAGCAGUGAGGAAUAUUGGUCAAUGGGCGAGAGCCUGAACCAGCCAAGUAGCGUGAAGGAUGACUGCCCUAUGGGUUGUAAACUUCUUUUAUAAAGGAAUAAAGUCGGGUAUGGAUACCCGUUUGCAUGUACUUUAUGAAUAAGGAUCGGCUAACUCCGUGCCAGCAGCCGCGGUAAUACGGAGGAUCCGAGCGUUAUCCGGAUUUAUUGGGUUUGAAGGGAGCGUAGAUGGAUGUUUAAGUCAGUUGUGAAAGUUUGCGGCUCAACCGUAAAAUUGCAGUUGAUACUGGAUAUCUUGAGUGCAGUUGAGGCAGGCGGAAUUCGUGGUGUAGCGGUGAAAUGCUUAGAUAUCACGAAGAACUCCGAUUGCGAAGGCAGCCUGCUAAGCUGCAACUGACAUUGAGGCUCGAAAGUGUGGGUAUCAAACAGGAUUAGAUACCCUGGUAGUCCACACGGUAAACGAUGAAUACUCGCUGUUUGCGAUAUACGGCAAGCGGCCAAGCGAAAGCGUUAAGUAUUCCACCUGGGGAGUACGCCGGCAACGGUGAAACUCAAAGGAAUUGACGGGGGCCCGCACAAGCGGAGGAACAUGUGGUUUAAUUCGAUGAUACGCGAGGAACCUUACCCGGGCUUAAAUUGCAGAUGAAUUACGGUGAAAGCCGUAAGCCGCAAGGCAUCUGUGAAGGUGCUGCAUGGCUGUCGUCAGCUCGUGCCGUGAGGUGUCGGCUUAAGUGCCAUAACGAGCGCAACCCUUGUUGUCAGUUACUAACAGGUUCCGCUGAGGACUCUGACAAGACUGCCAUCGUAAGAUGUGAGGAAGGUGGGGAUGACGUCAAAUCAGCACGGCCCUUACGUCCGGGGCUACACACGUGUUACAAUGGGGGGUACAGAGGGCCGCUACCACGCGAGUGGAUGCCAAUCCCAAAAACCUCUCUCAGUUCGGACUGGAGUCUGCAACCCGACUCCACGAAGCUGGAUUCGCUAGUAAUCGCGCAUCAGCCACGGCGCGGUGAAUACGUUCCCGGGCCUUGUACACACCGCCCGUCAAGCCAUGGGAGCCGGGGGUACCUGAAGUGCGUAACCGCGAGGAGCGCCCUAGGGUAAAACU